CUCCAUUGAAGACUAUUCUUGCACAAGAUGAAAAAAUUGAAACUCCUUUCAUCCUUCCAAUGCAAACAGUCCAUGCCCAGGAGGAACAAAUGGUAGUCCAAUGGCCCAAACCAAAGGAGCAUGGAGAUCAAUGCCUGCCCAAACCUCCAGAUAAGGUAGAAUUUGUUUUGCCUGAACUUAAUGCCAAAUUGCAGCCACCCAUGGAGAAAUAUCAAUUGAAGUUGGAAGUGCUCAAAAAUGCAAACAUAAGGGCUAGAGGCACACCUCAUCUGAAAGAAGAGAAGCUAAUCAUGUUACUUCAUGAGUACAUGGAAAAAGUAGGAUGGGCUAUGACAAAAUCAAAAGGAGUGCUACACUUUUUGCUCAAUGCAGUUGGGACUCUUUUCCCUUCCCCAAUUACUUGAGCCUUGAUCAAGUGGAUCGCACCAUGCACACCACACCCAGGGGAGUACUCAGUUUCCUUUGUUCUUUUAUGUUUUUUACACAAUGAGGACAAUGCAUGAUUUAGGUGUGGGGGUGCAUAUUUCUGAAUUUUUAAAUUUUUGCUUUGAUUUUCAGUUUGAAUUUUUAUUUUCAUUUUUCAGUGUGAUUUUCAAUUUUUCGUUUUGCUUUCAAUAACACACACAGAUAGCCACAGUUUUUUUUAUUUAUUUUUGUUUUCUUUUUUUUUUAGAUGCUUUACUCAUCAUAUAGACUAUGUUGGAUGAGCUUUUCUUUCCAUGACCCCAUUGAUGUUAUGACUCUUUAAACUUAUGUUGAAUCAAUUGCAGUGAGUUAUAUUCAUGUUUGAGAAUUGCCUUUUGAAUUGAAUCUUUGAGUUUGCUAUGGUGAAAAAUAUAUUGAUGACCCUCAAUUGAUGAGAAUAAAUUUAAAAAAAAAAAAUUGUGUGAAUGAACUUAAUGUGACUUGAUUAAGCAAUUGGUGUUGAUUUGCCCAAAUCAUUGAGAGAAAGAAAAUUCAGCAAAGGCAAAGACCUCAAAAGCACAAAUUAAAAACUGUUCCAAUGGUCAAAAGACCAUGAACAAGGCUACUAGCCACUUGGAUAGAUGACCAACUGAAAAAUCCAAAAGUGUACAUCAAAAAUAGGUUGGUGACCUUUCCAAGCAAGAUCUAAAGUGCAAAAGCCUGAAUAAAGUACUUCAAGGUAAGGGCAAGUCACUCUGAAAGCUAGAAAAAGUCUUAACAAAAAUGUGCAUGUAUGGUCUCUCUUGAGGAAAACAAAUCAUAGCCAUG
rnacentral:lncRNA from 1 species